AUGGUGAAGCACAACAAUGUUAUCCCUAACGGCCACUUCAAGAAGCAUUGGCAGAACUAUGUCAAGACCUGGUUCAACCAGCCUGCCCGCAAGCAGAGGCGCCGCAUUGCUCGUCAAAAGAAGGCUGUGAAGAUCUUCCCUCGCCCAACAUCUGGUCCUCUUCGUCCCAUCGUGCAAUGCCAGACUCGGAAGUACAACAUGAAGGCAAGGGCUGGGAGAGGCUUUACCCUUGAGGAGCUGAAGUCAGCGGGCAUCCCGAAGAAGCUAGCUCCUACCAUUGGCAUUUCUGUGGACCACCGCCGUAAAAACCGGUCACUUGAGGGUAUGCAGUCUAACAUUCAGAGACUCAAGACUUACAAGGCCAAGCUGGUUAUCUUCCCAAGGCGUGCUCGCAAGGUUAAGGCUGGUGAUUCUACCCCUGAGGAACUUGCCACAGCCACCCAGGUCCAGGGUGACUACAUGCCUAUUACUCGUGGUGAGAAGCGCUCGGUUGAGCUCAUGAAGGUCACCGAAGAGAUGAAGGCGUUCAAGGCCUACGGCAAGCUACGUGUCGAGAGGAUGAACCAGCGCCAGCUUGGCGCCCGCACGAAGAAAGCCGCCGAGGCAGAGAAGGAAGAAAAGAAGUGA
rnacentral:rRNA from 1 species